rnacentral:rRNA from 1 species
AAUACGUUCCCGGGCCUUGUACACACCGCCCGUCACACCACGAAAGUCGGUAACACCCGAAGCCGGUGGCCCAACCGUAAGGAGGGAGCCGUCGAAGGUGGGAUUGGCGAUUGGGGUG